GCUUGCUAGAGCCAGCGGUUCAUUCGUGCGUGUAGAGCUGUGGAGUACCUCGCCGGGAGGGAAGAAACGUGUUUUCAGUCAUUUUUUUUACAGGCUUCUCUCGUUGUAAUUAGCCGUCAUACUGCUGGAAUAACACAAAAUAAAGGUUUCGUCGGUACUUUGGGUUGUGCUUAACGGCGGUGUGGCGCAACGCUUUAAACGCUGAGCUUUACAGGAUUUGUCACCUGGCUGCAGCAGCUGACUUACUGUGUCCUGAGGAGAGUGGAGUCGCUGGGCAGCCGCCAAAAGAAAACACACAGUUGCUAACAAAGUAGUUAGCAAGUCAGCCAGUUAGCCUGCCAGCUAGCCACCUCUCGCUACUGCCACAGCAAGUCCCACCCUCACCGAGUGCGUGGACGUCGUAAAGAAGCUGCAGCGGUGAAGUCGAGUGCUUUUUCCUCUCAACUCAGCCAGCAUCGCGCUACCGCUGGCUGGCGAAGCUAAAACAGCUCCCUAAACGUUAGCUAGGUGACUCCAACGUGAAAAAUUGCUGGCUUUAACGUCGGACAAGUGUCUUCUGUGGAGGGAUACGGUCGCUACACUGGCAAAGAGACUGGCUAAAAAGAAGAGGCGAAAUAAGAGACAACAAGGAAGACACCGAGAAGGAGGGGACUGGCUAGUUUAGCCGGGGAGAAAGAUUUUCACAUAGAUAGCAAACGCCGCCACUGAGCCACGCACAGCCAUGAGUAUUGAGAUCCCGGUGGGGUUGACAGAACUGCUGCAGGGCUACACUGUGGAGGUGCUGCGACAAAGGCCGUCAGACCUGGUGGAUUUUGCAGUACAGUACUUCACCCGUUUGCGGGACACCAGAAGUCAGGAUGGGGCCAGUGCUGGUGGAAAGACAGGGAAAGGUGUGAUGUUUGAUGGGGAGCCAAUGCAAACAGAGUCCAACGGAGAGGACGACGAAGAUGAUGAUUCUGACUUUGAGCCUCCACCACCCAGCAGAUUCAACAGGAGAGUGUCAGUGUGUGCGGAGGCGUUCAACCCAGACGAUGACGACGAGGACACGGAGCCCAGAGUGGUUCACCCAAAAACAGAUGAACAGCGCUGCAGACUGCAGGAGGCCUGCCGAGACAUCCUACUCUUCAAAACACUAGAUCAGGAGCAGUUCUCACAGGUGCUGGACGCCAUGUUUGAGCUGAGGGUUCAGCCCCAGGACCAUGUCAUCGACCAGGGAGACGAUGGAGACAACUUCUACGUCAUAGAGAGGGGUAUUUAUGACAUAGUGGUAAUGGGAAAAUGCGUGGGUCAGUAUAACAAUAAGGGCAGCUUCGGGGAGCUGGCACUCAUGUACAACACGCCACGUGCCGCCACCAUCGUUGCCACCCAGGAGGGGGCGCUAUGGGGACUGGACCGCGCCACAUUUCGUAGACUCAUUGUGAAGAACAACGCCAAGAAGAGGAGGAUGUACGAGUGUUUCAUUGAGUCUGUGCCCCUACUCAAAUCACUGGAGGCAACAGAGAGGAUGAAGAUAGUGGAUGUAUUAGGAGCCAAACAGUUCUCAGAUGGUGAGCGCAUCAUCACACAGGGAGAGAAGGCUGACUGCUUCUAUGUUGUAGAAUCUGGGGAGGUCAAGAUCAUGAUGAAGAGUAAAACAAAGGCAGACCAUGCAGACAAUGCGGAGGUGGAGAUAACGCGCUGUAGCAGGGGUCAUUACUUUGGGGAGCUGGCCUUGGUCACUAACAAGCCCCGGGCCGCCUCAGUCUACGCAGUGGGCGAUGUCAAGCUUUUGGUAAUAGACGUGCAGGCGUUUGAGCGCCUCCUGGGCUCCUGUAAGGAGAUCAUGAAGAGGAACAUCGCCCACUAUGAGGAGCAGCUGGUUGCCCUGUUCGGCUCCAGUAUGGACCUGAGAGACUGAGCCUCCCACACCACCCUCCGUGCCUUCUAUCACACACACACACACACACACACACACACACACACACACACACACACACACACACACACACACACACACACACACACACACAUGGAUACAGAUAAUCAAAAACACAUAGGUUACCACACUUGCAAAAACGGACACACCGUGGUAAAACGGAGACGAAAAACUAAUGAAAAAUCUCUGAAAAGGAAAAUGAAUCAAAAAUGCAAAAAAAGAGAGAAAGUUUAAAGAAGACAGAUACGUUUUAGAAACAUUUUAUGACGAUACAAACAGAAGCUUUGAUAAAAUAUUAUUUAAAUAAAAAAAAGUGUUUCCUCUUUGGGAGGCCGGGGUGCAGAACUUUGUGGGGUGCGCUCCAUUUCUUCCUCUACUGUUGUUGAUUGAGUUGAGUUAGUGCUGGUGAUUAUUGCAGUACCACAGAAGAAGCAGUGAAAACAAUAACAACCCUAUGUUUUCUAGGUCAUUGUUAUUCUAUCAUUGACGCCACACUUCAUUGUAUUGAAUUAAUUAUUAAUGUAUUGUUAUUAUAUAUUCAUUUAUUAUUUUUUGUUUUACUUUGACCAAUUCUGAUAAAAUUCACCAUCCAUCUCUGACAAAAUGUAAAAACUGAAAAAAAAAUUCUAAUAAAAACAGUAGUGCUUAUUUCUCCUUGAUUAUCCUUGAAUGAGUUGUCCUGGAUAAAAAAA